rfam:Myotis davidii contig42594, whole genome shotgun sequence.
GGUGGUUCACAGGUUAUGCACCCCAGAAUCAGGCUCCCUCCUCUCUGGUUCUGGGUGCAUCACCCUAGAACAGCU